rnacentral:rRNA from 1 species
AUCCCGUUUAUCCUGCGGGAGGCCGCCGCUAUUGAGAUCCUACUUAGCCAUGCAAGUCAGGGGGUAGCAAUACCACCGGCGAAAGGCUCAGUAACACGUUGAUAAUUUGCCCUUAGGUCCAGGAUACUGUUGCGAAAGUGACAUUAACACUGGAUAAGAGAUUACUACUGGAAUGUGUUUUCUCUGAAAAGCAAUGCCUAAGGAUAAGUCAGCGGCUGAUUAGGUAGUUGGUGAGGUAAAGGCUCACCAAGCCUAUGAUCAGUAGGGGGGAUGAAAGUCCUAGCCCCGAGAAGGGCACUGAGAUACUGGCCCUAGCCCUAAGGGGUGCAGCAGGCGAGAAAACUUUACAAUGCACGAAAGUGUGAUAAGGGGAUCUCAAGUGCUUUACUUCGGUAAAGCUUUUGCCAAGUUAAAAAAGCUUGGAGAAUAAGUGAUGGGUAAGACCGGUGCCAGCCGCCGCGGUAACCCCGGCGUCACAAGUGGGGGCCACGAUUAUUGGGUCUAAAGGGUCCGUAGCCGGUUCUGUAAAUCUUUUGUGAAAUUGUUAGGCUUAACUUAACAGCGAGCAAAAGGAACUGCAGAACUUGGAACCGGGAGGAGGCAGAGGUAUUCCAAGGGGAGCGGUAAAAUGUAAUAAUCCUUGGAGGACCACCUGUGGCGAAGGCGUCUGCCUAGAACGGAUUCGACGGUGAUGGACGAAGGCUAGGGGAGCAAAAAGGAUUAGAUACCCUAGUAGUCCUAGCUGUAAACGCUGCGAGCUAUGUGUUGCAUGUUCUUUGGGGACAUGCAGUGCCUAAGCGAAGGUGGUAAGCUCGCCACCUGGGAAGUACGGCCGCAAGACUGAAACUUAAAGGAAUUGGCGGGGGCUCACUACAAGGGGUGCGGCGUGCGGUUCAAUUGGAUUCUACGCCGGAAAUCUCACCAGGGGCGACGGCAGAAUGAAGGUCAGAUUGAAGAUCUUACCUAACACGCCGAGAGGUGGUGCAUGGCCGUCGUCAGUUCGUGCUGUGAAGUGUCCUGUUAAGUCAGGUAACGAACACGACCCACAUCCAUAUUUACUAAAGCCUUAGCAAUAAGGAGCGAGCACAAUAUGGGGACCGCCUUCGAAAGGAGGAGGAAGGUGUGGGCAACGAUAGACGAGAUUUCAAGAACUGCACUCUGUGUUCUUAUCUCGAUCGAAGUCAGUAUGCCCCGAAUCUCCUGGGCUACACGCGCGCAACAAUGGUGGAGACAAUGGGAUGCAACUCUGAAAAGAGAAGCCAAACCUCUAAACUCCAUCCUAGUCCAGAUUGAGGAUUGUAACUCAUCCUCAUGACGUCGGAAUCCCUAGUAAUCGGAAUUCAUUACGUUCCGGUGAACAUGUCCCUGAGCCUUGCACACACCG